CCGGAUGCCCCUGGGGGCCGGCCAGUCGAGCGGAUGUAAAAGCAUCCGGCGGCGGAGACAGCAGUCUUGUACCCAUGUUGCUCAAAGGAGGAUGUGGCUAUGAGAA
rnacentral:sRNA from 1 species